rnacentral:piRNA from 1 species
UGUAAGAAAGGCCAUAGCUAGAGCUUCUGCCA